UACGUAGGGUGCAAGCGUUGUCCGGAAUUAUUGGGCGUAAAGAGCUCGUAGGCGGUUUGUCGCGUCGACUGUGAAAACCCGAGGCUUAACCUCGGGCCUGCAGUCGAUACGGGCAGACUAGAGUUCGGUAGGGGAGACUGGAAUUCCUGGUGUAGCGGUGAAAUGCGCAGAUAUCAGGAGGAACACCGGUGGCGAAGGCGGGUCUCUGGGCCGAUAUUGACGCUGAGGUGCGAAAGCGUGGGGAGCAAACAGG
rnacentral:rRNA from 1 species